rnacentral:rRNA from 1 species
GAUUUCUGGCGUGGCGCUCUCUGUCCGCCGCCGUUAGGCGUGUGAGUACGGAGCUGUGCCUGCCAUCCUUCCGGGAAGGCCGUCUGCCCUUCACUGGGUCGGGCGGUCGACCUGGAUCGUUUACUUUGAAAAAAUUAGAGUGUUUAAAGCAGGCGUUUGCUCUGAAUACAUUAGCAUGGAAUAAUAAAAUAGGACUUUGGUUCUAUUUUGUUGGUUUCUAGGACUGAAGUAAUGAUUGAUAGGGACAGUUGGGGGUGCUAGUAUUCGGCGGCCAGAGGUGAAAUUCUUGGAUUCGCUGAAGACUAACUAAUGCGAAAGCAUU